CAUGAUUAAAUAAUUUUGUCACUGUCUUACCAUGUAAUUGAUCAAAAGAUCAACUUAUCAGCUGAGUGAUAUUAAAGCAUAAUUUUCAUGUGACUGAGUUGCAUGCACUCCACAACAUGCUGACAUUUCUACUACCUCUAAAGCAAGAUUUAAGUAAAUAAACAGUUUCCCAUAUUCUACCAUACAUAAAAGUAACAUUAAUGGGUAAAACUUGUCAGGGUGCUGACUGGUCUGCAACAAAACAUUCAUGUUUUCACCCUGAUAAAGCACAUGCAAAAAUUACUCAAAUAUCUUCAUACCUACUAAACAGAUAGGAGAGAAAGCUCUACACCCUCAAAAUGCCCGAAAAAUCCUAAAAAAUCAUAGAAGAAUUGAGCAUGCUAUGUCAUCAAUUUCUUCUUAACAGAUUUCUUAUUCAAACGAACCUUCUUUCCACAUUUCUAUCUAAAUGUACUUUCUUAAAAAGGGUCGGGAAACAUUUAGUGAUAACAAGAUAAGGGAUGUGAUAUCCAAGGAAGAUCAUCUAUCAUAUCCACAACUUCAUAAAAGUUAUUCUCACCGCUGCCAUCCAUCCCCCAUGAAAGAACCCCUGCCCCAGCCCCCACCCCUCCCUGACUUCUCCCCCACCCUGCUCCAGUGCUCUUCCAGCAUGCCCAACCACCCGGCAUCUCUGAUGAUAUCUCCCCUCCGCCACCCCCAUCAGUGACUCCUCUCCUGCCCCGCUGCCCUGUUCCAACCCCAGAGUCCAAGGCGAGGGACUACUAAAUCUCUGGCACAAAGGAAAACAUACCCCUACCAACGCUCAACCUUAGCCAACCAACUUGAGGUGACCUGACUGACACAAGAAAGAAGAGAAAUUAAGGAAAAGAAGAUCAAAACCCUGACCACCUUCCUUUGCCAUUGGUCACAAGCAACAACAUUCAUCACGAUGAACCCCUGCAACGUUAUCAAAGAAGGUGGGCGUCGAGCCUCGGCCAUCAAAGCUGAUAAAGAAGUCGGAGCGGGGCAGCUCAGUGC
rnacentral:lncRNA from 1 species